AGCGAACGCUGGCGGCAGGCCUAACACAUGCAAGUCGAACGAACCUUUCGGGGUUAGUGGCGGACGGGUGAGUAACACGUGGGAACGUGCCUUUAGGUUCGGAAUAACUCAGGGAAACUUGUGCUAAUACCGAAUGUGCCCUUCGGGGGAAAGAUUAAUCGCCUUUAGAGCGGCCCGCGUCUGAUUAGCUAGUUGGUUGAGGUAAUGGCUCACCAAGGCGACGAUCAGUAGCUGGUCUGAGAGGAUGAUCAGCCACAUUGGGACUGAGACACGGCCCAAACUCCUACGGGAGGCAGCAGUGGGGAAUCUUGCGCAAUGGGCGAAAGCCUGACGCAGCCAUGCCGCGUGAAUGAUGAAGGUCUUAGGAUUGUAAAAUUCUUUCAUCGGGGACGAUAAUGACGGUACCCGGAGAAGAAGCCCCGGCUAACUUCGUG
rnacentral:rRNA from 1 species